UGAGAGGAAAAAUUUGUGCCAUGCUUCAACCUUCCAGCCGAGAGGAGCUUGAGAGAGGAAUAAAGAAAUUUCUCUUGUUUUGCUUCCACUUCAGCCAAGAGGAACCAUAGAGAGAACACUUAAAGGAAGCUUGUGUCUUACUUCCAUUUCCAGCUUGCUUGAUCGGGUAGAAGGACCAAAACAGGGGAGUUAACUUCUAGCUUGUGUCAAAGGGCGUGACGGUGGUCCGAAACGCUCGUCGGGUGGACAAGUGUGAAAAUUCUCUUUGCUUACUUGGGAACAACUUUUGAAGACUGUGAUAUUUUGAUGUACGAGUUGAGCUAGUUUUAAUACAUAUUCUGUGUAAAGCUCCUCGAUGCUUGGAAACUCUGAAUGUA